rnacentral:rRNA from 1 species
GACGAACGCUGGCGGCGUGCUUAACACAUGCAAGUCGAACGGACAGGCCCUGCUUUUGUGGGGUGCUCGAGUGGCGAACGGGUGAGUGACACGUGAGUAACCUGCCCUUAACUUUGGGAUAACUUCAGGGGACUGGGGCUCAUACAGCAGAGGAUCUCCUGCUGCAUGGUGUGCGUUGGAAAGUUUCGGCGGUUGGAGAUGGACUGGCGGCUUAUCAGCUUGUUGGUGGGGUAGUGGCUUACCAAGGCUGUGACGGGUAGCCGGCCUGAGAGGGUGACCGGCCACAAUGGGACUGAGAUACGGACCAGACUCGUACGGGAGGCAGCAGGGGGGAAUAUUACACAAUGGGCGGAAGCCAGAUGUAGCAACGCCGCGUGCGGGAUGACGGGCUUCGGGGUGUAAACCGAUGUGGACGGUGACGAAGCGGGAGUGACGGUAAUGGGUAAAGAAGCACCGGCUAACUACGUG